GACGAACGCUGGCGGCGCGCCUAACACAUGCAAGUCGAACGAGCGAGAGGGAGCUUGCUUUCUCGAGCGAGUGGCGAACGGGUGAGUAACGCGUGAGGAACCUGCCUCAAAGAGGGGGACAACAGUUGGAAACGACUGCUAAUACCGCAUAAGCCCACGGGUCGGCAUCGACCAGAGGGAAAAGGAGCAAUCCGCUUUGAGAUGGCCUCGCGUCCGAUUAGCUAGUUGGUGAGGUAACGGCCCACCAAGGCGACGAUCGGUAGCCGGACUGAGAGGUUGAACGGCCACAUUGGGACUGAGACACGGCCCAGACUCCUACGGGAGGCAGCAGUGGGGAAUAUUGCACAAUGGGGGAAACCCUGAUGCAGCAACGCCGCGUGAAGGAAGAAGGCCUCGGGUUGUAAACUUCUUUAAGAGGGACGAAGAAGUGACGGU
rnacentral:rRNA from 1 species